rnacentral:ncRNA from 1 species
AGAACCCUGCUUGAUAAGGCUCUAACCAAGCCAUCAAUAGCGAGUCUUGGUCUCAGUUGAGUAAUCAACUGGGUUAAGCGUAGACAGUUAGGUCGUAGGCCUGAAAGUGAUUGAGCCUCGUAAAUAGUUAAAACGGGGAGGUUGACGGUGUCGAAAGACUGGAAAACGAUACGCCGUAUGUCGUUAUCGGUGAGGUAUACGGAGCUCCCUCGGGGUCGGAGAGCC